rnacentral:rRNA from 1 species
UACGGGGGGGGCAAGCGUUGUUCGGAAUUACUGGGCGUAAAGGGCUCGUAGGCGGCCAACUAAGUCAUACGUGAAAUCCCUCAGCUUAACUGGGGAACUGCGUGUGAUACUGGAUGGCUUGGAUUUGGGAGAGGGAUGCGGAAUUCCAGGUGUAGCGGUGAAAUGCGUAGAUAUCUGGAGGAACACCGGUGGCGAAGGCGGCGUCCUGGACCAAUAUUGACGCUGAGGAGCGAAAGCCAGGGGAGCAAACGGG